AAGGCCCAGGUUUACUUAUUUUUAUGUGUUCUGCUAUGUCUCGUGCACAUCUGUGGUCACACAGAUUUUAAAGUAUACUGUAGCAUCUGCUUAGGAUCAUGUACGAUCGUUUGGGCUUUAUGUUGUAAGGAUUCCUUUAGCCUUUUGACAUUUGCAUAUAAAUUACAGAAUCCAGCCCCAUGGUAUACAUUCACAUGAGUGCUUAAUGGCAAUGUUUACACCCAUUAUCUGGAAGAUACUGAACAGGUCUCCCCAUCUGACUUCAAACACAUUCAGAGAUAACUAGAUAGCCCUCGAUGCCAGAAACCAAAGGGGCCUGGCUGAGCAGCCGACUCACAUUCUCACAAUACACAACACACAUACUUUUAAUCAUUUAGACUAUAAUUAAUCUGUUACAAAUGUUUCUGGUAUAUUUUAUGUAUUGUAUGUUUCACUAUUGUAGUAGCCUAGUUGCAAUUCUUUAUUUGUAUUAGUUAGACUCUCAUUGCUUAUAUUCAGGUAUAUGAGUGGCAGUUUUCAGAAACUUUGUUGAUUCACUUCGGAGCAGUCAACCAUGAAUCUCCAUUCUCUUGCGCAAGCACUCUCUCUCUCUCUCUCUCUCUCUCUCUCUCUCUCUCUCUCUCUCUCUCUCUCUCUCUCUCUCUCUCUCCCUCUCCCUCUCUCUCUCUCCCUCUCUCUCUCUCUCUCUCUCUGCUUUACCCAGGAACUAGGGACUUUGGGCUGCUACUCUGUGUGUUUCCACUGCAGGAACUAGGAACUAAAUAAAGUUCUGGGUAAAAAAUGCCCCUCAGAAAGUCCCUGCUGGCGAGGUAGUACUUUUUCAAAGUUCUGGAACUUUUGGGGGCGGGACUUGGGCGCUAAACAUGCUGAUUGGUUGAAUUCACGUAGCAUUGUGAUUUCAACCACCAUUUAUUCUGAUCAUUUUCAAAAUAUCACUGUUAAGCCCCUUUCACACUGCCAUUCCGGCAAAUACACACGUAAAGUGUUCCUGCAAUUGUUCCCUGGUCGCUAGAUUUUGCACUUUCGCACUGCCAGUGAUGACCCAGUAUAUGUGCGUGCUUUCACACACAACCCUUGAAGAUCCCGUAACGACAUGUGACAUCAGCGCGUGACGUGUAAUGUACAAGUCGAAAACGCUAGGCACGUUAUACUUUCACUGAAGCAAGCAAACGAUCUCUGCGUCAGCGCGGAAAGUGAGGAACUAACUGAUAUCUGCUUCAUUAUAGUUUGCACAUAUGUUUUCGUCGCGAACGUUGAUCUUCCUUCAAAACAGCCGGUAAAAGAGUCGCGCGAUAACACGCGUCAUCACUUCGACACGGAAUUAGAUCUGGCUUUUGUUCACACAGCGCUCGUCCCGGGUCGAACCCCGCAGUGUUACUAGGUUGCCGUCCCGGGUUCAAUGUGGUAAUCAAUCCCGGGACGUGGUUGCUUUCACACAGAAGGCGACCCGGCAAUGUUCCGGAAAUAUUGUGGGUCCGACGUGCAGUGUGAAAGGGGCUUUAUUGUGUCAUGAAAUGUAAUUUUAACAGUAUUUCAGGUGACAAUGUAGUUGUUUAAAACUUAAACCAGCGUUUUUAGACAGCACCUAUUUAAAAAUGUGUUUUGGCGAUUUCGGAGACGGUCAGCUCCACGCGAUCAGCUCAGUGCUCAUGUAUCCACCUAGAGCACUCUCAACUCGGCUAGUCCUUCUGAUCUGUGCCGCUGGCCCUUAUGUCUCAUUUUAUGUUUAACCACAAAAAUUAUUAGUUUGGGGUAAAUCUGUCAUGUGGUCUUUAGUCUGUAUUAAAUUUAUCUAUAUGUUAAAAUGAAAAUAAAAAGAGGCAAUUGAUAUAAUAUAUAUAUAUAUAUAUUUUUUUUUUUUGUAAUGGCUGUAUAUAUACACAUUUCCCUGAACUAAGUACAUUUUUGCGGCUAUGAUUAUGUUUAAAUGAAAAAUGAAAGAAGGCAGUGGUAUUUCAUAUUCUUUUGUUUUAUUGUAAAUAUGCAGUGAGGAAAAUUGCAGUAGCCAAGGCGAGCUGACUGAUGUUAUCAAGUACGCUGCUGUUUGCAGAAGAUAGCAAGCGAUGUUCCUCGUGUGUCCUAAAAUUAAGGCCUUGAAUUAUGUAUAGCUAGAUUGAUGCCAUUGUGCCUUUCAAUGUCAGUUCAGUCAGUGCUCUCUCUCGCCCAUUCAUGGAGCAAAAUUAAUUUUAGAAUACUGCAGGUCAGUGUUGGUUAAAGGGGGGGUGAAAUGCUAUUUCAUGCAUACUGAGUUUUUUACACUGUUAAAGAGUUGGAUUCCCAUGCUAAACAUGGACAAAGUUUCAAAAAUUAAGUUGUACGUUUGAAGGAGUAUUUCUGUUCCAAAAAUACUCCUUCCGGUUUGUCACAAGUUUCGGAAAGUUUUUUUCGAGUAUGGCUCUGUGUGACGUUAGAUGGAGCGGAAUUUCCUUAUAUGGGUGCUAAGGGCGCGUCUGCCGGAAGAGCGCGCGCUCCCGUAUAGCAGAGCAGAGAGAGGCUGUGCACAGACAAUCACUCAUCACAGCGAGAGCGUCGCGAAAUGUCACAAAAGGAGUGUGUUUUUGGUUGCCAGGGCAAGACAACCCUGCACAGAUUACCAAAAGAGAAACAGCAUUAAGGGACCAGUGGAUGGAGUUUAUUUUUACAGAGCAUCAACGGAGUUGUGCAAGUAUUUGUGUUUGUUCCCCUGCAUUUCGAAGAUGCUUGUUUUACAAACAAGGCCCAGGUUGACGCUGGAUUUGCACAUCGUUUAUUUCUUAAGGAUAAUGCAAUCCCAACGAAAAAGGGUCACGAUCGUGUGUUGGAACCGCAGGCGGUGAGUAAAACUGCUUCAAAUAUCUCUGUGUUAUUAACUUAGCUAUCGGCGUGUAAGCACAUCAAGUAAACAACAUGCGAUGUUGUCAUCAAACUGCACGAGUAAAACUGCUUCAAAUAUCUCUGUGUUGUUUACUUAGCUAUCAGUGCGUAAGCACAUCAAGUAAACAACAUGCGAUGUUGUUAUCAAACUGCACUUUCCACAUGUACAGCUUAAAAAAAAAAAGACGACAAAGUGAAACUUAGUCAUUUUCCAAAACCGCUAAGCAAAUAUAUACAGUUUCAGUACAUACCACAUAGAGAAGCCUUUGCUGAUGCUGCUCUUGUUAAAUUUCAGCCUCUGGAUCUGUGUCACAGCUUCCAGACGCGCUCAACACAAAAUCCUACUGGCGCUCGUGAUUCUUUAGCUCCGCCCACACGUCACGCCUCUAGGCGCUCGUGUUUUUCCGGGAAAAAUCGGUACAGACUAUCUUUCUCUUAUGAAUAUAAUAAAACUAAAGACUUUUUGGAGUUAUGAAGGAUGCAGUACUACUCUAUAGACCUGUACUCAAGAUUAACAGGAUAUUGAGUGAAAACGAGCAUUUCACCCCCCCUUUAAUGAUAACCGGGAGUCUUAAAAUCUCAAUCAAAAUUGUUGCAACAAACGCAUAAGUCCCAUUAUCUAUCAAAGAAGUCCCCGAGAGUCAGUUUUAUAGUAAAGUUAUCUUAUAUUGGGUGAAGAAACCCCCACUUUCAGUUUUAAAUGCAUAAGUCUUAAGUCUGACAAAGAAACCUCAGAUUAGCGGCAUGAAUUAAACUGCAUGGUGAAGAAACUCCGCUGGCAGUGAUAUUAAAACUGGGCGAUAAAGAAAUCUCACUGCAGUAUAUUUACUUGAGCGAAUUGAGCUAUGUUCCUCAUCUCCCUAAAUUAAGGCUUUCCUUUAACCACCGCAUAUCAUUGUAGUCAUUGAAGUGAUGCAAUUGAAUAGCGAAGUAAUGGUUUAAUGUUUUGAUUUGUGAAUUAAGUUAUAUGCGAUAUGUCAUAACUGACGGCGCGUGAGUUUCCCAUGCGGAUUUAUAGCAAGUGUUGUAAGCUUGCACCUGUCUCUUAGCAACAUCUGAUCCCGGAGGUUGAGAGCAGGCUCUUCUGGUUCAAUUUAAUCACAGCACCCACGUCACAGACUCUUUUGUGAAAACAAACAACGAAGUGUAGCCAAAGCUAACUUAACUGUUAGCUGUUAGCAUCCGACUAACUGAGAAUCUAAAGUGUGAACCACUCCUGGUCUCCCUGGUAUCUCCUGGUUUCCCUUCUUGUUUAUACUAUAACCUUCUCUAUAGACUGUUAGGUUUGCCCCUUCUCACAUACGUUGGUUCUAUUUUUUUUAAUUUUUUUUUAUUCUACCUCUCUAUUAUUUAAUUUCAUUAAUUUAUUUUUAGCUUGAAGGUACAUAUUCAGCUAAGUUGAUUUUGAUUAAAUCUGAGAUUUAAUUAAAUCAAUUUGUGUAUUUUUUUUUCUUUUAGUCUCCUAAAGCUAUUAGGACAUUUUCAUUUUAACUUUACCUUAUUUAAUUAUUUGACUAUCACCAUCUUCCCUAUUCACCUUAUUCCGCCCGCCCACUUUUAAUACUUCGCAUUUCCGCAUUUUGUCAUCCGACUUCCGCUAAACCUAUACGGCACGUCCGGUUACUAGUUUAGUAGUUGUAAGAUUGUUUAUAGCUAGCUAUAACUGUGGCGAAAUGACAAAGAACGUUAUGUUAUAAAUUGGGAGCACGAUGAAAACGUCUUACGACGAUCAAAUGGUCUCAAAUUGUCCCAUCCAUCGUCGCUGUUAACGUGGGUAAAGUUAGACGAUAUGAAGAAGUGGCCGGAGUUAACCUACCCUGUCAGGAGGAGUUGAUGGAGCAGCAAGGAAAAAUUAUUUAAAAAAAUGUACCGAGGCUUACCAGUAUUUACAUAGUGAGACAGUGGAUCGUGUACUGUUACACAGCGAGGGUUUUUUCGUCUUUUUUAAAAUUGAACGUGCAACCAGCCAGUCGAGCAGUCUAACCUCUCAGCAUGGUGCUGGUUAGUUUUGUGUGUGUGAUGUUAAUAUACACGAAGUUAUAAAUGUUUAAAAGUAUAAUAACGUGUUUGAUGACCAUCAUCAGACUAAGUAUUUUGUCUAAUAACUUAAUUGUACAGUGGAGUAAGGUAAGUGAACGUUUAUAUAAUUAUAAAUUGUAUAUAAUUAUACAUACUAAUUGUAUAAUUAUUAGGCAGAUUUUAUUUUACAGAUAAAACAAGCCAAAAAAGAUUAUAUAUCACUUAUAAAAGAUUAAAUGCAAAAUUAAUAGUUAAGAUUGGUUUGGUUUGGAAUUGGUAAAUUUUACCAAAACAUAUGAUCAGAAAAUCAGCUUGCCUCUUAAUUCUGCACAGUGAAUAUGCAAAAGGUAAGAUUUGGUAGGUGUACAUUAAGUCUAAUCAAUGAAUAAUGUAGGUAAACGUCAAGUGUAAUAAUAAUGAAUGAUUCUGAAAUAAGACAACUGUGAAAUCUUUGAAAUGUAUUUUAGGUUUGCCAUGUUCUGUACAGGGCUGAGGACCUGUAAACUGCUCAUCUGGGUUCCUUCACAGCAAGUUACAUGUGCCACACAAUCAGCAAUUCUGUGCCAAGACUGUAGCUAGACUACAAACCUUUUAUUUUAAGUGUAUGCUUCCUUGUCUCAGAUGAGUUUCAGGCAGGUGACCUGCUGCUUUCAACAAGAUAGUUGCAGCUUUGUAAAUAAGCAGGAAUGAGAAUAAUUAGGUUAAGGAUAGGAUAUUAGGUAAUUGGGAUGGGAUGUAGAGGGUGUGGGUGAAGACUAACUAUAUGAAAUAAGUUAGUCCAGAUCUUUGCUAACCAACCACUGACCACAGGGCCAGUCAUUCCAUCACCAAGUAAUGGCGUCACCCAGUCACUUCAGCUGAUGGCUGCACAUCCAGGAUGAUCCAACACCUUUCAGCAUACCGGUCACCACACAAUCCCGGUAUCAAGACUCCUGAGGAACCCAAUCGAAAAGGGGGGCAACCAGGAAACAGCAUGUUGGAAAACAAGGCGAGACUUGGAGCUCCGGUGACACUGAAGUAAACCCAACUUUUAUGUCACCUCUAACUCUUUGAUAGACCCAUGAUGAAGCUCAGAAACAGAACUGAACUCAAGGCCCCAAAAGUGUGCACUGAACAUGCAGGCAUACACACAUACCACCUUCUCAUUUAUAAAGAGCUGCUGGACCACAUUGACCCUUCGCUGAACUUGGGACAGCCAAAAAUCCUGCAACUUCAGCCAAACAGUUCACCCAGACAGACUAUCAGGUCACCGAGGUCACGAGACAGUCUCACAGCCAGACAUGAGAAUAUGGCCUUCAGCCUCACACUCUUCAAAGCAUGCUUCAAACACACACCAGACCUGCCUUCACAAGCAAGUGCGUGAGCUUCCCUAUGAGGUCUUGAUGUUAACCAUGGUGACUGCCAAGGACACCUGCGUUUUAUCCUGAAGUAAAAUAACCAAAGCUUUAAAGGGUUAGUUCACCCAAAUAUUAAAAUUGUCAUUAAUGACUGACCCUCAUGUCGUUCCAAACCUGUAAGACCUCCGUUCAUCUUCAGAAUUCUUCAUCAGCACCAAAAAUACAUUUUGGUCAGUAAAUAACAAAAAUUCUGACUUUAUUCAGCAUUGUCUUCUCUUUCAGGUCUGUUGUGGGCACUACUGCUGUGACUGUUGACGUACGAUGAUACUGACGUGUUAUCUUUGUUAUUGUGUGCGCCAGAAAACAUUUCAGCAGCGUCACACAUCAACCGCACCGUUAACACGCUCACAAGAGACCCGGAAGAGUAGACAAUGCUGAAUAAAGUCGUAAUUUUUGUUAUUUUUGGAUCAAAAUGUAUUUUUGAUGCUUCAGCGAAUUCUAACUGACCCUCUAUUGUCACAUGGACUACUUUGAUGAUACCGGCUGUAGACGGUAAUGUUUUCUCUUGGUUCUUGGUUCUAAAUAAAUGCGACUUGUAGUCCAGUUUGACUUAUAUAUGUUUUUUUCCUCAUUAUGACGUAUUUUUGGACUGAUGCUACUUAUACUCAGGUGUGACUUAUAGUCCGAAAAAUACGGUACCUUUCUGGACAUGGACAGUAUACCGUAUAUAAAGUUUCAGUGGAGGGACAGAAGGCUACAACUACAGAGAGCCAGCCAGGAUCAUCAGUGCUCUUGCCCACAACAAGAACAAGGAGCUACAGGAGGAAGAGGAAAGCUUCAAGAGGCCUUUACAAAACCUGCACAGACACUGAGCAUAGAAAGCAACUGGGAUAAAAGCCAGAGAAGCUGAAGGCUGAAGCUCUCCAACAGGCUGAAGCUCUCUUAAGUAAUGGCCCUGGUGAACCAAAACUACGCCUGAGAAUACCACCUGCAAGCAGCCCAAGCUGAAACCAAAGUCCUUGGCUCAGCAACAAGACAACCUAAACACCAAUCGGGUAAAGUCAAACAAAGCCAAUGUCUCAAUGUCAUAAAUUAACUGAAAUAUGCUUGCAGACCACAAGGUGAACAGACGGGGAAAACACUACACAAAAUUUUCCUUGACAAGCAGGCCCAGGCCCCCCAGCCAAGAGUCCAAACCUGGGGGGUGGGGGGCAUAGCCCACUUUUCACACUUCACAAUUCCCCAGCCAGCAACCACAGGGGAGUGGGACAGGGUCCCUUCCAGAGGAUCACUGCAGACACACACACACCAUGUGGACUCACAGACCCCAACAAGUUGGCCAGAGACAUUACAACUGUCGACCUUAAUACUGCAAAACACUUGCCUACUUGCAAAACAGGUACUUUUAUGCAUGAACUAUGCCAAUGUGACCACAGAAGACAGACUAUCUGCUCAGGAUCACUUCCAGCCUUGAGGCACACAACAUCCUGUACCUGCAGACUGAAACAGAUCAAAGUGGAUUACAAAAACUACAACUACGAGUCUACUACAACGAGUCUAUGGCAGAUGAUAGAACAGGCAACAAGGGAGGAAGGUUUCAACUCCAGAACCUUCUCUCCACCUAAAUUCCACAGUACGCUGGCCUACAGAGAACACAGUGCUGCCUCCAUAGAGACUGUUAAAAUCCUGCCUAUCUCUUCACAGUACCAGAACUGACUCUGGAGAGCACAUGAGCUAGCAUGAAAAGAACCUGAUGACAUUAAAGGAACUGAUCCUGAGAGUGGCCUCAUCAGCAGGAUAAACAGCAUGAGAAACAAACGACCUACCAGAAUGCCCUCCUACUAAGAGAAAUGCCCAGAUCUCGGCCAACAGUCUCUCACCACAGAGACAUCCACCCUAAAGCCAGACGGUCAUGGCACCUAGACAGCACAUCAGCAGACGGCUGACCACCCACUACAGGCCAAAAUACACACAUAGCCAACUCCACUGCAUCUGACCAUCAACUCUGUGAGACUGUACACUGUGUGUACACAACACAACAGGACUUAGAACAUUCAUAGAAUUAGGCUCAAGUGUGGAAAUGUUCACCUUUCCAGCCAGCCAAGUCGUCUGAAGUGAACUGCCAGGUCACAAAGAUCAGGCUUGACAUCUCAGCUGGUCACGAGAACCCAGUCUCAAGGUCAGACCAGAUCUUUGCUAACCAGCCACUGACCACAGGGCCAGUCAUUCCAUCACCAAGUAAUGGUGUCACCCAGCCACUUCAGCUGAUGGCUGCACAUCCAGGAUGAUCCAACACCUUUCAGCAUACAGGUCACCACACAAACCCGGUAUCAAGACUCCUGAGGAACCCAAUCAAAAAGGGGGGCAACCAGGAAACAGCAUGUUGGAAAACUAGGUGAGACUUGGAGCUCCGGUGACAUUGAAGUAAACCCAACUAUUAUGUGACCUCUAACUCUUUGAUAGACCCAUGAUAAAGCUCAGAAACAGAACUGAACUCUUAAGGUCCCAAAGGUGUGCACUGAACAUGCAGUCAUACACACAUACCACCUUCUCAUUGAUAAAGAGCUGCUGGACCACAUUGACUCUUUGCUGAACUUGGGACAGCCAAAAAUUCUGCCACUUCCGCCAAACAGUUCACCCAGACAGACUAUCAGGUCACCGAAGUCACGAGAGAAUCUCACAGCCAGACUUGAGAAUAUGGCCUUCAGCCUCACACUCUUCAAAGCAUAAAUCAAGCACACACCAGACCUGCCUUCACAAGCAAGUGCAUGAGCUUCCCUAUGAGGUCUUGAUGUCAACCAUGGUGACUGCCAAGGACACCUGCGUUUUAUCCUGAAGUAAAAUAACCAAAGCUUAAAGGGUCAGUUCACCCAAAUAUUAAAAUUGUGUCAUUAAUGACUCACCCUCAUGUCGUUUCAAACCUGUAAGACCUCCGUUCAUCUUCGGAAUGCUUCAUCAGCAUCAAAAAUACAUUUUGGUCAGAAAAUAACAAAAAUUCUGACUUUAUUCAGUCUUCUCUUCCGGGUCUGUUGUGGGCGCAACUGCUGUGAUUGUUGACGUACGAUGCUACUGACAUGUUAUAUUUGUUAUUGGGCGCGCUAGAAAACAUUUCAGCAGUGUCACACAUCAACAGCGCCGUUAACACGUUCAUAAGAGACCCGGAAGUGAAGACAAUGCUGAAUAAAGUCAUAAGUUUCAUCUGACAGCUGGAUUCACCAACUACUGCCUUGGUGAUGGUCUACACCAACAACAUGGCCAGAACUAAAGGUAGUGCCCACUUAAGAAAAACUCUGCUCCCACCAGAGCACAAACUACUCGGAUGACUAAAAGAGACUGCUCUGCACUUCCUGAACCAUCCAGCGAUUCUCCAGUCGCAACGGAACCUGGAAAGUGAUCACAGAGAUGUGCCUCCAACCUUUAAUGGCCCUCAACUGCCAACUUAUCCAUAUAGAGGACCAACGCCCCAAAGCCACAUGGACAAUGGCCCUUUAAGGACGCAAUGUUGAGGCAUGAUGUGCCCAGAGCAGGUGUUUUGUGUGUUAACAGCAAACGUCUCCAAUAACACUGCAAGUAAGUACAAGUGACAGCCAUCCUGAUCGUCCUUCAAAUCGCAUCGACUCACAAGAAGUGCAUCAGAAAACUCCUGAUUUACAGACUCAAACACUUUGACAAUGUUGAUCUUAGGCAAGGAAACACUCACAUCGGGAUACACACACCAGUUAUAGUAGCCUACCACAACAGUAACCCACACUUAUACCUGGCCCCAAAUCUGCGUACGUGUACCCUUACCAAAGACAUCCAUUAUCUCUUGCCCCAGCAAGCCCUUCCCCAGACACAACACUGAAGGAAUCUGGGGUUUACAACCCAUAAAAAGAGAGACACUCGUUUAAAAUUCCAUCCAUACUGCCACAUUGACCUAUGACCAGCAUGACACUGCCACCCAUGUCAGCCUGCCCAACCAGAAUAUGGCAUCAUCCACCUCAGGGAUCUGGCGCUGUACCACCUUUCAAGUGAAGAGUACCAAUCCGAGGUAGAAAUUCCAGCUUUCUUCAAGGUCCACAAUCUCACUCUGGAACCUGAAUUGGAACUGAACAUUGAGAAAGGGGGGUCCCAGAUGAUUGACAUCACCCCAAUCGACACAGCCCUCCUAGCACUGUCUCGGCUGCCUGUCCAGAUCACCUUUCCCAUCGCCCGAUCCUGGACCUCAGCCGACAUGGCACUUUGCUUCCACAGCAAUCGGUACACCCGAACUCUCGGCUUUGCCUUUGUCAUGUUUAACAGAGUCAAUGGGGUGCAAAGGUCCAUGAACAGGUGCACAGCUGCCCUUCCUCGAACCUUCAAACGGAGCCACCGGAAAAGAGGGACCCAGGCUUAGACAAUGCUGAACCUGACCAAGGUUAACACCCAAGCUGAUGAUGCAAAGGAUAAGGAAAAUUAGGGACCACCUAGCAUCUGACCAGCAGGAUGCACCUGCCAUCUGGCUUUCCUGAUCCAUCUGCCAGCCGAUCAUCAUGAUCCACCUGCUGUCAUGACAACUCUUGUCUGAUGAUGUUUGUGGGUGAACUUUGUCAGCCAAAAGGGGGGAUUUUGUAGCAUCUGCUUGAGAUCAAGUACGAUCGUUUGGGCUUUAUGUUGUAGGGAUUCCUUUAGCCUUUUGACAUUUGCAUAUGAAUUACAGAAUCUGGCCCCAUGAUAUACAUUUACAUGAGUGCUUAAUAGCAAUGUUUACCCCUAUUAUCUGGAAGAUACAGAACAGGUCUCUCCAUCUGACUUCAAACACAUUCUGAGAUAACUAGAUAGCCCUCGAUGCCAGACACCAAAGGGGCCUGGCUGAGCAGCCAACUCACAUUCUCACAAUACACAACACACCAACUUUUGUUCAUUUAGACUAUAAUUAAUCAGUUACAAAUAUAUCUGGUGUAUGCAUGUAUUGUUUGUAUGUUUCACUAUUUUAGUAGCCUAGUUACAAUUCUCUAUUUGUAUUGGUUAUACUCUGUAACGAUUGCACACAGGAAACGAAAGAUCCAAUAGCAUUGUUUAAUGGGGUUAUCCAAUAACAAAAUCCAAAACAGGCUAGAGGUCAAUAACAGGGAAAGCAGUCCAAAAAAAAACAACAACAAAAAAAAACAAGAAACAACAAAACAAUAGGGAACGCGAGAAAACC